rnacentral:misc_RNA from 1 species
UGCUGCGAUUGCGGUUGCUGUUGCGGUUGAGAUGUAAUAUUGGCAUUAGAAUUAAUGUUGUUAAAGUUGUGAUUAUCAAAAGGAGGUGGUGGCAGCGGCUUCUUGGUGAUGAUGGGUUUGGAGAUCUUAUGGGAAAGCUUAUUGAGGUUUUUGAGGUACUGAUCUCUGGUGCUACUAACGGUGGUGUUACUGCUGCUGCUACCACUGGUGAUGGUAGAAUCACCAGAGGAUUGACAGCUUUUAUCCAUUACAGAAACAAAACCCUCUCUCUCUCUCUCUCCUUCGUCUACAGAUCUACCAAGUAUGCAUCUAUAAGUGGGCAAAACAGCGGAGCUGUCUGUGUAUGUGGGGAAAAAUCAUCUUCUUGAUAGUGUUUGUGAUUGUGGGUAGGCCAGUAGGGUCACAGACGCAGACUAAAUACAAAUAUCUUUGAGAUUAAUAAAGCUAAUAGUCUGAAACUGAAAGCUCUUCUACUACUUGUUUAUCUCUUAUAGAGAGAUGUGGAAAAGAAAAGAAGGAAUGCGUCCUCUGUAAUAUUUUGGUUUAUUUUGGGUUGAGGCUUAAAAGAAGAGAAAGCAC